AGAGGGGCUCCUGCGGGAGCAGAGAGAGAAUUUACUGCUGCGGCAGUACAAAGAAUGUUUAGGCUAUUAAAUACGAGAGGUGUGAGAAUUCAUUGCGUGCCGGGAAAAUUUGUCAAUGGAAUGACAAGGUGUUUGCGGCUUAUAUAGUACACGUGUAAUGAUGAUUGACAUGACUGAAUGUUUAGGCUCCUCCCGAACCUACGUUUGGAACUUCAUUUGAUGAUACUUACUAUGCAAAAAAUUACAGGGGACCAUAUAAAGAUCUUAUGGAACAGCCUACAAAUGUUUCCACAGUCCAUGAGACAGAGAUGCCAUCAAAUGAAUCAUCAAAGUGUUUGCCUUCACUACAAGAUGUUUUUAAGAAAAUACAUGCAUUUCUGAAAAGGAUUUCCUUUAUAGUAAUUUUCCUACUGAGUCUUUUGUUAAUCGGAUUGGAGGAGUUCAUGGAAAUACAAGUUUUUGUAUGCCCGUGCAGACAUGAUCUCAAUGUACAACUAACAGCGUGCAUCUUCAUCGGACCUGCUCUUUUUGUUUUUGAAUUAUUGUUCCUCUUUUUAAGGCCUUUUAAAGAUAGUUGUAGUGGUUGUUGUGCAGGAGCAAAUGAUGAUACUCAGCAGAACUGUCCUAAAGCUUUCACAACAUGUCUGAUUCCACCUGUAAUGUGGGUCAUCAUCUUGUUACUUGAUGGAGAUUAUGUUGCUUGUGCCAUGACAGACUGGAAGGGAGUUUCUGUUUUUGAUAAUCAGCUCAACAGGUCGUGGUGUAAACCUGUCGAAGGGUUCCGAAAUGAGACAGCUCUACGAAAUGUGACUCAAAAAUAUAUUCAUCAAUCUCAGAUAUAUGGUUAUGCUGUGAGCUCUGUCUUCAUUGUCUUGCCAAUUAUCUAUGUGGGAAUUUUUGAUUGCUGUGGGAAAUCUGCCUGCUGAUCCAAAGCUGGACAUGAUGGAACACAACCGGAUACAACCAGGAACAACAACCCCUUCCCACACUGCAGACUUACCUGUGUAUAACUUGAACUAUUUGAAAAAAACAAACUUUUUAAAUAUAGAUUCAGGUUCAUUUGUUUCAUGUUAUAGCCCAGUGCCCGAGAUUCAUUUGCUGUUUACAUACUUUCUCCUCUAGAUUGUUACUAAUAUAAAUCUGUUUGUUGGUCUCCCACGUCACACGCAGACCAAAAAUAAA